GUCAUAUCACGUUGAAACAUCGGUUCUCGUUCGAUCACCAAAGUUAAGCAACGUCGAGCCUGGUCAAUAUAUAGAUGGGUGAGAGAUUGGAAAUAUCAGGUGCUGUAAG